CGCAUUUCCAAUGGAUGAGAAUGAAGCUGAUAGAACAAUUAAUAUUCAACUAUACAAAAGCUCUGUAUAAGUUAAACAUUACAUGGAUUGAUUUUAUAGGUUGAAUGAUUGGAUUAUCAGUAGCAUAUUUCAAGUCACUCUAUAACAAAGAGAUUUUAUUUCACACUUAUUACUGGACCUGGAUUGAGCUAUCAAACUAUUGUAAUCUUCAGAGCAAAAUGGUGAACAUUUGUUAUUGCAGUAUUAUAUGGAGUAUUGUUUUUUCCAUACUAGUUAUGUCAGCAAUGGCAGAUUAUCUGGAUGACGAAAGCUUUGGUAUGGUUGAUAAUCCAAGCUGGUGGCAAAGUUCUGAACCUGACGAGAGUAAUGGUAAUUUGAUAAAUCCAGAAGAAGACCAAAUCAACGUUGAUCGAAGAGGAUUUAACAGAUACCUGUCAAAGCACAAAGGUGUCAUCCCAUACUACUUGCAUAAAGACGGUAUUAAUUAUGGCGGUCGCCCGGGUCCAGCAUCAACACGUCUCUGGGGAAGUCGCUUAUACGGGAUGUCAAAGAUGAGACCAAGUUUUGGGCUCGUGUCCGUCAAUAGCAGAAGUGGACCUUUUGGUGUUAAAAAAUGAACAGAUGAUGUGCCUGAAUGUGAAACAGUGGUCUAUGUAAAAGAUUGUUUGAUGUACAAUUUGUCGAUGGAUUCUCUUUUAGAUAGUGCAUUGAAACAUAUUUCGUUUCUUUAGUUUAAAAAAUUAUUCUAUGAUAAUUUUCUGCUAUAAUGCGAUUUGUUUUGUAAUAAAUUGUUUCAACUUCUUUCUUGAAAAAAAUCAGUCAAAACAUGACUAUGUAUGAAUUGUUUUAUUUGUACUGUCCUUUAUUUUCUAAUAUGUUGUAGUUUGACAUAAAAAUCAUAAUUGUAGACUUAUGUUUUUUCUCGCAGAAAUUCAUAAAAUUUUGAUGUAUAAUUGUUCACGAGAUUUGAUAUUGUUUGAGUUAUAAACUGGGGUAUGGUGACUAUUGGAACGCUGUUCAUUUCUUAAUAGGAAUUAAUGUAUUUCAAUUUCAAAUCUAAUAAUUUAUGUUAUCUCUUAUUUUCAUUUGUAUUAUACUGCGUAUGGUUGGUCACACAACCAAAUGCAAACAAACUAAGCCUUUCGACCUACGCUUUAAGUUGUGUUACCGUCGACAAGAAAGUUCACACUUAAGUGCACCAUGUUUUGAAGCAUGGCUUUCGCAGUCCAUUUGAUCCAAAACGGAAAGUAUGAACGAUAAUUUUGUUUAUAUUUAUUUGACUUAAAAAGACGCGCAGUUGUCUUAUUGAACAGCUUUUGUCGUUGUUUCAACAGCCUUUGUGUAUUUAUUUUAUAACUUUUAUUUAUUUUUAAAUUAUAUUUAUCUUGGUUAUACUGCAAACACCUCUAUGCAGUAUGUCUAAAAAUUGUCAACUGUUUUAAUACUGUUGAAUAAAAUAUGUGAAAAUAAAA